UGGGACUUUCAGACUCUGAAGAACUUCUGAAACUGUUGAGAAAGUGUUGUUGAAACCAAAGGGAUUCAGAGGAUGCUAAAGGAAUCUGGAUAAAUUUAAGAAGAAUGCAGGAGACACCAUGAGUUUCAUUUUCCAGCCAGCCAUUUUGAGAACAAAGAUGAAAACCAAUGUUGUAUCAUUCCGACAAUCCCAGCUGCUGGUCUGAAAAUACCAGGACUGAUGUAUUCCUCAAUUGAAGGGAGAAGCAGUGUAUUCUAGGAUAGUUUUGAUGUCUUCAAUUAGUAAGUAUUUAU